GGUAUGCACUGGCUUCGCUGAUUCCUCCUUUCUGAAGAACUGUAAUGCCACUAAUUUGGUGUUGCAGGGAAACAGGACUGUUACUUUGAAAAAAUUAGAGUGUUUAAAGCAGGCUAACGCUUGAAUACAUUAGCAUGGAAUAAUGAAAUAGGACGUUCGAUCCUAUUUUGUUGGUUUCUAGGAUGGACGUAAUGAUUAAUAGGGAUAGUUGGGGGCAUUAGUAUUCAAUUGUCAGAGGUGAAAUUCUUGGAUUUAUUGAAGACUAACUACUGCGAAAGCAUUUGCCAAGGAUGUUUUCAUUAAUCAAGAACGAAAGUUAGGGGAUCGAAGACGAUCAGAUACCGUCGUAGUCUUAACCAUAAACUAUGCCGACUAGGGAUCGGAUGAUGUUAAUUUUUUAAUGACUCAUUCGGCGCCUUACG
rnacentral:rRNA from 1 species